AUUGAACGCUGGCGGCAGGCCUAACACAUGCAAGUCGAGCGGUUGAGGGGAGCUUGCUCCCUGAUUCAGCGGCGGACGGGUGAGUAAUGCCUAGGAAUCUGCCUAUUAGUGGGGGACAACGUUUCGAAAGGAACGCUAAUACCGCAUACGUCCUACGGGAGAAAGCAGGGGACCUUCGGGCCUUGCGCUAAUAGAUGAGCCUAGGUCGGAUUAGCUAGUUGGUGAGGUAAUGGCUCACCAAGGCGACGAUCCGUAACUGGUCUGAGAGGAUGAUCAGUCACACUGGAACUGAGACACGGUCCAGACUCCUACGGGAGGAAGCAGCGGGGAAUAUUGGACAAUGGGCGAAAGCCUGAUCCAGCCAUGCCGCGUGUGUGAAGAAGGUCUUCGGAUUGUAAAGCACUUUAAGUUGGGAGGAAGGGUUGUAGAUUAAUACUCUGCAAUUUUGACGUUACCGACAGAAUAAGCACCGGCUAACUCUGUGCCAGUAGCCGCCGCGGUAA
rnacentral:rRNA from 1 species